CUCUACUACUACCCCACUGAAUUUUUCACCUGCUACUACAAUUAAUUAACAAACAACCUAUCCACGGCCUUCCUCUACUGAACAUACCUGGCCUCUAAGGACCUCCUGAAUUACCUCAGGCUUUGGCCAUUUUGGACCGUCUGUCUCUACUACUACCCCACUGAAUUUUUCACCUGCUACUACAAUUAAUUAACAAACAACCUAUCCACGGCCUUCCUCUACUGAACAUACCUGGCCUCUAAGGACCUCCUGAAUUACCUCAGGCUUUGGCCAUUUUGGACCGUCUGUCUCUACUACUACCCCACUGAAUUUUUCACCUGCUACUACAAUUAAUUAACAAACAACCUAUCCACGGCCUUCCUCUACUGAACAUACCUGGCCUCUAAGGACCUCCUGAAUUACCUCAGGCUUUGGCCAUUUUGGACCGUCUGUCUCUACUACUACCCCACUGAAUUUUUCACCUGCUACUACAAUUAAUUAACAAACAACCUAUCCACGGCCUUCCUCUACUGAACAUACCUGGCCUCUAAGGACCUCCUGAAUUACCUCAGGCUUUGGCCAUUUUGGACCGUCUGUCUCUACUACUACCCCACUGAAUUUUUCACCUGCUACUACAAUUAAUUAACAAACAACCUAUCCACGGCCUUCCUCUACUGAACAUACCUGGCCUCUAAGGACCUCCUGAAUUACCUCAGGCUUUGGCCAUUUUGGACCGUCUGUCUCUACUACUACCCCACUGAAUUUUUCACCUGCUACUACAAUUAAUUAACAAACAACCUAUCCACGGCCUUCCUCUACUGAACAUACCUGGCCUCUAAGGACCUCCUGAAUUACCUCAGGCUUUGGCCAUUUUGGACCAUCUGUCUCUACUACUACCCCACUGAAUUUUUCACCUGCUACUACAAUUAAUUAACAAACAACCUAUCCACGGCCUUCCUCUACUGAACAUACCUGGCCUCUAAGGACCUCCUGAAUUACCUCAGGCUUUGGCCAUUUUGGACCGUCUGUCUCUACUACUACCCCACUGAAUUUUUCACCUGCUACUACAAUUAAUUAACAAAGUAUGUUUGCACAUUUGGCUCAUCCUGAAUGAAAUUGCUUGUUCAUUGGCUUGUACAUA